AAGUCGUAACAAGGUUUCCGUAGGUGAACCUGCGGAAGGAUCAUUACACACAGUAGUUUUCUACUGCUUGAGGGAGCUGAAAGUUAUUUCAACGAGUAGGCUGCCUGUUUGUACCCUUGUCUUUUGCGUACCUAUUGUUUCCUCGGUGGGCUUGCCUGCCGGUUGGACAACUAUAAACUCUUUUUAGUUUCAAUCAGCGUCUAAAUCAACAUAAUAAUUACAACUUUCAACAACGGAUCUCUUGGUUCUG
rnacentral:misc_RNA from 1 species